GCGCACCAACUCUGUAGCCCAACGCGUGGCGCCCCCACCCCCGCCGCGGGCUACGCCACUCCCUCCCGACACACGCGACACCCUGCGUUCACAGGCACAAGCACGCAGGUCCGGCCGCCGUGGCCGCGGCCGGGCCGAGUAAACACCCAGCUGGAAACGCUGGCAGCGGAGCCGCUCCGUAGCAAGCCGGCCCGAGGAAGAAAGAGGGGCGGCCCGCGCCCGGGCUGUGUUGCCUCUGGGACACCCAGCCCUUUGGGUGCCCUCGAGAGCAGCACUCGACCUUGAGAAGGAAGACGUGAGGAUUGUUCUCCCAGUGGCCUCUGGGUGAAUACUGGAAAUGCCUAAAGACGCUGGACGAGAGUGGGGUAGCUUCCACCCUACAAGCUCUGUUCCUUCAGGAUCAUGGACAAGAUGGCAUUUGGUCUGGGCCUCGGCAUCGUGUUCCUGAGAUGGGUCCCCGUUGCUGCUUGUGAUAAAUGCAGGACUUCCGGCUCUUGCUUGGCAUCCCGCUGUGUGCACGCGUCACCGUCACCGUGGCGGAGGCUGCUGGCUGUUCCCCGAAAGCGGUUUCUUCCUCUUCCAGGCCACACUUGGGCACUACAUCUCCCAAGGUCCCUUGCAGUGCCACACGCAAGUCCCCCGAGCUCCUCGAAGAAAUGCUGCGACCAACAUCCUCACACGUGUGUCCGCUUCCAUCUGUGAACAAGGUUAUUUUUAGGUGGUCUGCCAGAAAUGGAAUUGUGGGGCCAUAGGGUUUGUACGUAUUCUGUUUUCCUGGCCAAAGCAAUGGCAGAGGCGUGUGGCUUUGACAGGGGCGGCAGGGGUUGGGGUAUUCAGUUCCCAGGAGCCAACAUUGCCGGAUGCAGUGUCUGUGCUCAGAGGAGUCACCGCUGCAUCCGUCCCACAGAGCGGUCUGGGCAUUGUUCCAUGGUCCUGGCCUCUAAGGCCGGCUUCCUGGGUACCCUGGACAUUCUGUGAGCCCCCACGGCCAUUCAUGAAAUUACCAGAGCGGGCUCUGUGGUUUACAGCUGCAAAUUCCCGAUCUCUGCGGGAUUAGGGGUUGGCGACCUUCUUCUGCGAAGGACUGGACAGUAAAUAUUUUAGAGUUCAAGGGUCCUACAGUCUGUGUCCCAACUAUUCAAUUCUGUUGUAUCACUAGCAGCAAAGACAAUAUGUAAACGAAUGGGUGUGGCUGCCUGCCAAUAUAAGUUUAUAUAUAGCAACAACAGCCUGCAGAUCACAAUUUGCCAAUCCCUGAGCUAGACAAAAAGGGAUCUCUCCUUUCUCUAAAUCUCUUUGUAGACAGUUACAUCAGAGUUCUUGGCCUUAGCUCCUUGGUCAGCUGCUUUUCUCAACCCAUUUUGGGGUCGGUCCCGUAAAGAACCUAACACAUUACCUCACCUGCAGUGGACUGACCCAAUGAAUAAAUGAGUGAGUGAAGGAGUGGAUGAAUGAAUGAGCGAACGAACGAAUGAAUGAAUGAAUAUACUGAUGAAUGCUUUAAUUUAGAGAUGGUGAUCCCAUUGAAUAACCCGAGCAAAGACCAGUCAGAAUGGGAGCCAGCACUACACACCCCAUGCAGCUGAACUGUGCCCCGGGGAGUCUAGUCCUGCCGCGUGGAGCCCUGGAGGGCCGAGUGCUUGCAGUUUCUCUGAGCCCCCAGAGCCCAGCCUGUGCUUUUUACAGGAAAGUGCUUCUCUGUCCAGGCUCUGCGCAGUUAAUGUUUCAGAAAGCCCCAGGUCGGGCCCCAGGCAUGGGUAGGUCCCUAGCUUUUCACACUUUCACCCGAUGCUGAACCCAUCCCGGGCUGAGGAGGAACUGAGAGAGUGACCUCCCAGCCCCUGAUGGGGUGGGAACAGAUACUUAGGGGACUCCCAGAGGCGUUGUAGAAACUCCUGCCUCACCUUUAAAGGUCAAGCUGGCCUUCUCAGGCCUGCCUGCUCGCCUCUCUGGUUUUCCGGCCUCAGAGGGAGAUGCGUGGGCAGGGGGGUGGGGUGGAAGUGUGGAGGCUGCCCACCCCGGCAGAUGGUAGGGUCAAGUGACCAUCUCGCUCCUCUCUGGCCCCCCUGGGGAGCUCAAGAGUCCCAAGGUGGGUUUAGGUGAGAGUGUGUUUGCAGAGGAAAUCUUUGGCUGGAGGGCAACUGGGCCAUUCACAUUGUUUUCUGUCUCCAGCAACACAAUAGAAGUUUUGCUGAGGCUCAGGGAGCGUCUACAAAGUGCUCUCCUCCAAGAGCAAGGCGCUGGAACCCGGCUUUUGGUGGCUUUUUAUCUUUGGAUCCCGGCAAAGGUACGGAGCAGCCAGGCAAGACCCAGGAGGUCCCAGACAGGAGUAGCAGCCUCUGGCUGUUCAGGCUGCUUGCUAAGGGAGUGGUCCUGCUCGAUGAACAAAAGGCCAGGCUGCAGGAGGACAGGGGUUGUGCGGGGGAGGAGUCACCUCCAUCCUUAACGUUGGCAGGCAGGCCACUGGGAGCUGGUGACUUACUUGGCUUCCAGCCAGAGCCCUGUUGAAACUCCUGCUGGAGCAGGGAAGCCACAGACAGGAUACUGUUCACACCACCAGGGGUAAGAUUGCCGAAUCACAUGUUUAACUUCUGUAAGAAAUUGCCGAUAGUUUUCCAAUGUGAUUGUGCCAUUUUGUAUUUCCACCAGCACUGUAUGAGGGUCCCAGCUGCUUACUAUUAAUAAUUUUCAUUGCACCAGUAAUACAUGGGUUCACAAGUAUUCUCCUGUAAAGCUCAAGAAAGUGCCUUUGCACAACCACCCAGCACCCACCACUCCCCCAAGAUAACGCUGUCAGCAGUUGGGGCAGCUUCCUUGCAGACCUCUUCCUGUGCAUUUAUAUCCAUAAAUAAAUACGCACUGAAAACA